rnacentral:rRNA from 1 species
UACGUAGGGUGCAAGCGUUGUCCGGAAUUAUUGGGCGUAAAGGGCUCGUAGGCGGUCCAUCGCGUCGGGAGUGAAAAGCUGGGGCUUAACCCCAGUCCUGCUUCCGAUACGGGUGGACUAGAGGUAGGUAGGGGAGAUCGGAAUUCCUGGUGUAGCGGUGAAAUGCGCAGAUAUCAGGAGGAACACCGGUGGCGAAGGCGGAUCUCUGGGCCUUACCUGACGCUGGAGGAGCGAAAGCAUGGGGAGCAAACAGG